CAUAAAGCCCGCGCUCGGGUUCCAGCCGCAGCCAGAGCAGAGACGACGUGACAACCGCGGACACGCGCGCUCAGAGCAUCCUCACCUUGGAGACGCGAGCUUUUGGAGAAGACUUUCAAACACGCGCAGAGCGGCGUUCAGAAGACUUGGGCUCAACAGACCCUCACGCGCACCUCCCGACAGCCACCUUUAGCCCCCCCCUCCCCGCAGAAGACCAGUCUCCUCCCGACCGCUACCUGUAGCCCCGCCGCUCCGUCCCCCCCGGCUCCUCGUGGUAGAACACCGUGUUCCCGUGAUGUCAUACCUGUGGAUCCUGCUCUUAGGGAGCCUGCUCGCGGGCAGCGCCAAGGCACAAGAGGAGACGGCAGAUAUAGAUUCCCCUACUGACACUGCUGUAGAGGAAGAAGCUGUAGAAGAAGAAGCUCCUGCAGAAGAAGAAGAAGCUGUAGAAGAAGAAGCCACUUCAGAAGAAGACGCUACUGCAGAAGAAGAAGGUCCUGCAGAAGAAGAAGCCACUGCAGAAGAAGACGCUACUGCAGAAGAAGAAGCUCCUGCAGAAGAAGAAGCCACUGCAGAAGAAGAAGCCACUGCAGAAGAAGCUCCUGCAGAAGAAGCCACUGCAGAAGAAGCUCCUGCAGAAGAAGCUCCUGCAGAAGAGAAAGCUACUGAGGAAGAAGAAGCUACUGCAGAAGAAGAAGCCACUGCAGAAGAAGAAGCCACAGCAGAAGAAGAGGCUCCUGCAGUAGUAGCAGCUCCUGCAGAAGAAGAGGCUCCUGCUGAGGAAGAGGCUGCUGCUGAAGUCGAAGCUCCUGUAGAAGAAGAAGCUACUACAGAAGCAGCUCCUGCUGAGGAAAAGGAUACUGCAGUAGUAGCAGCUCCUGCAGAAGAGGAAGCCACUACAGAAGAGGCUACUGCAGAAGAAGAAGCUGUCACUGAAGUCGCAGUUAUUGCUGAAGAGGUGGCUCCUGCUGUAGAAGCAGCUGCACCUACUGAUGUCGAAGAAGAGGCUCCAACGCCUGUAGUGGAAGGGGAUACACCAUCUGAGGCUGCAGCUGACGGUGCCAAGCCGAGUGAAGGCGCGGAGGCAGUGGCAACCCCGGAGAAUGUUACGGAGGCUCCUGCCAUCAUCCCCGUAGCGGAAGCUCCCUCAGCACACACAUCUGAAUCAUCAGCAGACGGAUCAGUGGAGGGAAAAUCCGCGGGCUCCGGGUCCCUGGCCGGCAUCCUGAGUGCCCUCUGUGUGGCGCUGGUGGGCUCCGUCAGCGGCUACUUCACCUACCAGAAGAAGAAGCUCUGCUUCAAGAACAGAGAAGCUGACCCUGAAGCAGCCCGGAAAGCUGACGCGGCAGCAGUAGCUGAAUCAGACCCCAGGGU
ensembl:lncRNA